AAGUGAAGUGGGUCCAGUGCUGUUCGGUUACCAACUUUCUUCCAAAUAUCUUCUUUUGUGUUCUGCUGAAGAAAGAAUUCAAAGAUUUGAAAUGACAAGAGGGUCACUAUCCACCUAUAAUCUAUGGAAAAGAACAUUUUGUUAAGGAAAAACGUACAGGAUGGUGCAACUUAAUGGUUUCCAGAUUAUGACUCAUCUGCCUCUACCUGCAUUUCAAGAGUCUUCCUUGUGUUACACUCUCGAUGUCUGACUCAACAUGAUGUCAUAGACCGAACAAGUCAUCAUCACAUGAGCUUGUGCAAACUAAUAUUCUGU